rnacentral:miRNA from 1 species
AGUAGAGAUGGGGUUUCACCAUGUUGGUCAGGCUGGUCUCAAACUCCUGAUCUCAGGUGAUCCACCCACC